rnacentral:rRNA from 1 species
GACAGAGGGGGCAAGCGUUGUUCGGAAUCACUGGGCGUAAAGGGUGCGUAGGCUGCACGGUAAGUCAGAGGUGAAAUCCCGGAGCUCAACUUCGGAAUUGCCUCCGAUACUGCCGUGCUUGAGGACUGGAGAGGAGAUUGGAAUUCACAGUGGAGCAGUGAAAUGCGUAGAUAUUGUGAGGAACACUAGUGGCGAAGGCGAAUCUCUGGACAGUUCCUGACGCUGAGGCACGAAGGCCAGGGGAGCAAACGGG